rnacentral:rRNA from 1 species
AAGGUUGACCUCGGAUCAGGUAGGAAUACCCGCUGAACUUAAGCAUAUCAAUAAGCGGAGGAAAAGAAACCAACAGGGAUUGCCCUAGUAACGGCGAGUGAAGCGGCAACAGCUCAAAUUUGAAAUCUGGCUACUUUUGUAGUCCCGAGUUGUAAUUUGUAGAGGAUGCUUUUGGUGAGGUGCUUUCUGAGUUCCCUGGAACGGGACGCCAAAGAGGGUGAGAGCCCCGUACAGUUAGAUACCAAACCUUUGUAUAGCUCCUUCGACG